AGAGAUUUAGCUCAGUGGCUAAAGUGCUUGCCUGGUAAGCAUGAGGUUGUGAGUUAGAGUAUAAUUUCUA
rnacentral:tRNA from 1 species